UGAGAUUUAGGCGCAACUUCACGCAAC
rnacentral:sRNA from 1 species